rnacentral:rRNA from 1 species
UGGGGAAUAUUGCACAAUGGAGGGAACUCUGAUGCAGCGACGCCGCGUGAACGAAGAAGGCUUUCGAGUCGUAAAGUUCUUUUAUAUGGGAAGAUAAUGACGUUACCAUAAGAAAAAGCCCCGGCUAACUACGUGCCAGCAGCCGCGGUAAUACGUAGGGGGCUAGCGUUGUCCGGAAUCACUGGGCGUAAAGGGUUCGCAGGCGGAAAUGCAAGUCAGGUGUAAAAGGCAGUAGCUUAACUACUGUAAGCAUUUGAAACUGCAUAUCUUGAGAAGAGUAGAGGUAAGUGGAAUUUUUAGUGUAGCGGUGAAAUGCGUAGAUAUUAAAAAGAAUACCGGUGGCGAAGGCGACUUACUGGGCUCAUUCUGACGCUGAGGAACGAAAGCGUGGGUAGCAAACAGG